CUUGUCCUCAAGAAUGAAUAAGGGAGGGCACAACAUUGAAAUUAUUGAUUGUGCGCAAUAAACCAGCACCAAAAUGUCAAUUUGUUACCUUCGUCAUAGUAAUCUUUUUCUUUGUCUUCUCCAUCUUUCAAAUACAUCUUGUUUAAGAAUUACAGAUGCAAUGUUCUUCAAAAUUAAUUUCUUCUUCUUCAGCCUUCUUGAUAUUUCCCAUUUAUCCUCUAUGGACAUUAAGAACUCACAAUAGUAAAACUCACAAUCAUGGUUCUCUUGAAUUAGUAAACUCCAUCCAUUCCCAGUGCUCCCAGAAAUUUCAGGUUUUUGGACUCUAGAUUGUGCAGCUUCCAACACUUCUUCCAUUCUGAACUGAGGCAAAAUCAUCCUUUGUUUUAUUGAGCAAAGGAAUUCCACUUCAUAUUCAGCUCCUAUUCUUCCCAUUGAAUAGUCUAGUUGCCUCAUAUGCACUUUACUAGAGGCUUCAGUAAUGUUACCAUUCUCGAAACCCUGAGUAUUCUCAUCAUUU
rnacentral:misc_RNA from 1 species